GCUGGAGUGGUGGAAUGGCAUACACGCUGGUCUCAAAAACCAGUAGCCGAAAGGCUGUGUGGGUUCAACUCCCACCUCCAGCACCA
rnacentral:tRNA from 1 species